rnacentral:rRNA from 1 species
CGAACGUCUUCUUCGGAGGACAAGUAGAGUGGCCCUCUGGUGAGUAACGCGUAAGUAAUCUGUCCUGGCAUCUGGGAUAACCUAUCGAAAGGUGAGCUAAUACCGGAUACGUCCUGCGGGAGAAAGACCGCCUCUGUUGUAAGCGGUUGUGCGAGGAGGAGCUUGCGUACCAUUAGCUGGUUGGUGGGGUAACGGCCUACCAAGGCGACGAUGGUUAGCGGGUCUGAGAGGAUGAUCCGCCACACUGGAACUGAAACACGGACCAGACUCCUACGGGAGGCAGCAGUGAGGAAUAUUGCGCAAUGGGGGCAACCCUGACGCAGCGACGCCGCGUGGAUGAUGAAGGCCUUCGGGUUGUAAAAUCCUGUCAGAUGGGAAGAAGUGUACGAUGGUUAAGAGCUGUCGUAUUUGACGGUACCAUCAAAGGAAGCACCGGCUAACUCCGUGCCAGCAGCCGCGGUAAUACGGAGGGUGCGAGCGUUGUUCGGAUUUACUGGGCGUAAAGCGCGCGUAGGCGGUGUGAUCAGUCAGCUGUGAAAGCCCAUGGCUCAACCAUGGACGUGCAGUUGAAACUGUCAGACUUGAGUACUGGAGGGGGUGGUGGAAUUCCCGGUGUAGAGGUGAAAUUCGUAGAUAUCGGGAGGAAUACCGGUGGCGAAGGCGACCGCCUGGCCAGAUACUGACGCUGAGGUGCGAAAGCGUG